AUUGAACGCUGGCGGCAUGCUUUACACAUGCAAGUCGAACGGUAACAGGCCGCAAGGUGCUGACGAGUGGCGAACGGGUGAGUAAUGCAUCGGAACGUGCCCAGUCGUGGGGGAUAACUACUCGAAAGAGUAGCUAAUACCGCAUACGAUCUAUGGAUGAAAGCGGGGGACCGUAAGGCCUCGCGCGAUUGGAGCGGCCGGUGUCAGAUUAGGUAGUUGGUGGGGUAAAGGCUCACCAAGCCAACGAUCUGUAGCUGGCCUGAGAGGACGACCAGCCACACUGGGACUGAGACACGGCCCAGACUCCUACGGGAGGCAGCAGUGGGGAAUUUUGGACAAUGGGCGCAAGCCUGAUCCAGCAAUGCCGCGUGCAGGAAGAAGGCCUUCGGGUUGUAAACUGCUUUUGUACGGAACGAAACGGCUCUGGUUAAUACCCGGGGCUAAUGACGGUACCGUAAGAAUAAGCACCGGCUAACUACGUG
rnacentral:rRNA from 1 species